rnacentral:rRNA from 1 species
UCCUCCUUUCCCCUUGGGUUAGCAAGAGCGCUGGUGAACACGGUUGUGACAGUCAUUUUACUCAAGAAUGUAGUCCCAUUGCCUAAUCAAUCUAUCAUCAGAGCUCAAAGAGUGUGGAAGCUUCCAUUUGGGAUUGCGUUUAUAUGACACUGAUCUAUGAGGGCGUUACCGAUCUGACAUACGAUGAGAUGAAGGCCUCCUAUACAGAUCCGGUAGAGACACUCACUGUACUCGGUAAAUAUCCGGGUGCAGAUAUCUCCGGUAUUUCAUUAGAUCUUGUAUUUGGAUAUAUCGGCAGGGGUAUUCCGGUUAUCAGCAGGAUAAAUGACGGAAGGUAUGUAUUGAUCGUCAGCUAUAACAGUGAGGCGGUCAGAUACUAUGAUCCUGUACUGGAUGAACAAGUGCGAAAGCA